GGAAUCUUGAUGAUGCUGCAGCAG
rnacentral:miRNA from 1 species